AGUCAAUUGUAAGGAGCACAGUUCCUGGAACCACAGCUUCUGGGGAAGGAGGAGUCCUAUCUGUCGUAUCUACCAGCAACCCUCGACGUUAUCGAAAGAGACUAUGGGAAUUCGCCUCUCAGAGUCUAGGAAUUCAAUUUGUCAUUGGAAGAAUCUUCUGGAAGGAGAGAGGACAGUAGACAAGAGGCCCCGGUUUUCCUGUCAGAGAUCUCUGAGAAUAUUUGAGGUCAUUCAUGUUCUGUUUGCUUAUUGUGAACGAGACACAGUUAGCUUCCUUUUGACUAUCAAACUCUGCUUUUUUGAAGGGCUCCCUGCACAAGCGAUAUGAGACUGCCUGCCUUGUGUGAGCCUUGGAUGAGCCCUGCAGCUCCUUCGAGAUGCUCCUUGGAUAUUCCUGAUGGAGAAGACCGACCCUGAGGAAGCUUGGUCCUGCUUGCGAUGAGCUUGCUGUGCUUUCACGGACACCCUUCAUUUCUUCUACCAGUUUUCAGUGCCAGGGUGCGCUUGAAAGGAGAGCUGAUGCCAGGGCUGUAGCCUUCCCCAGCCAGAGCAUGUGGGCCAAACCCUUUCUGGAUGGCUAGGCAGUGGGGAGAAGCCCUGAGAUAGAUGCUUGAGAAGUAGUCACAACUCCCCUGGGGACAGUCUGGUUUUCAGGGUUACAUCCAUUCAAAAACACCCCCCAGAAUUCAGGCUUGUGAAAGACAAGCUAACUUGACCCUGUUCCUUUGUUCUCACUGAGGUCCUGUCCUUGGCAUCCCCUUCCUCCUGUGGACACCACUGAGGUGCAGACACUACCCUGAUGGGGCUUCCCGUCCUGCUGUUCGGCUUUGGAAGAGACUUGAUUCCUUUCCUUUU
rnacentral:lncRNA from 1 species